CACGUAGGGGGCGAGCGUUGUCCGGAUUUAUUGGGCGUAAAGAGCUCGUAGGCGGUUCGGCAAGUCGGGUGUGAAAACUCUGGGCUCAACCCAGAGAGGCCACCCGAUACUGCUGUGACUAGAGUGCGGUAGGGGAGCGGGGAAUUCCUGGUGUAGCGGUGAAAUGCGCAGAUAUCAGGAGGAACACCAGCGGCGAAGGCGACACGCUGGGCCAUACCUGACGCUAAAGCGCGACAGCAUGGGGAGCAAACGGG
rnacentral:rRNA from 1 species